UUUGUCCUACGGAGGGCAGCAGUAGGGAAUUUUCGUCAAUGGGCGCAAGCCUGAACGAGCGAUGCCGCGUGAGUGAAGAAGGCCUUCGGGUCGUAAAGCUCUGUUGCGGGGGAAAAAAGGCAGCAUCAGGAAAUGGGUGCUGACUGAUGGUGCCCCGCCAGAAAGUCACGGCUAACUACGUGCCAGCAGCCGCGGUAAUACGUAGGUGGCAAGCGUUAUCCGGAUUUACUGGGUGUAAAGGGCGUGUAGGCGGGAGUGCAAGUCAGAUGUGAAAACUAUGGGCUCAACCCAUAGCCUGCAUUUGG
rnacentral:rRNA from 1 species